CGAUCGCUGCAUUAGCGCUGGUUCUGCUGAUGUUGUUUGGGAAAGUAGGAGCAGGUUGUGGGUGUCAGUCAUCAAGUGAAGUCAGUCCCUCCGCUGUUACUCAAAGAGAUUUUUUAGCCUGGAUAGAGGAUCUCCAGAGGAACGUCACAAACCUUCAACAGAAACUGGAAAAGAAAACACAUGAGCUCAAAGUUGUUCACUUAUCGCUUCGAGAUCUUGACGGAAAAUU